rnacentral:lncRNA from 1 species
GAAAAAUCUUUUUAAUGCAAAUAUUUUUAAUUUUUAUUAAACACAAAAAAACAAUAAAAUAAUACAGUAAAACCUCGUUAAUUUGAUAUUGGUUAAUUCAUAUGAUAAAACCAGGCAAGGACUAAGAAAUUCAUAGACUCCAUCACAAAUCACAACCUAGGUCUGAGAUUAAACUUAGAAUAACAAAGCAGCACAAUCAUAUUUCUUUCUAGAUGUGCAACUAAUAAUAAAGAAAGGAAAAUGCAUAACUUCUGUGUUUAGAAACAAUGUAUGAACCUUGUCUUCUCUUGAUCAAAUGCCUCCUAUACAUAAAUGUGUGGCAUGUCUUUUUCAGAAGGAUUUUUACAGACUGCAUAGAAGAAGGUGAGAGAAAAUAUGAAAGGAUUUUAGGGAACAGAAGAAAGCAUAGAUAUUUGAUGAAUUUCAUGAAAGGCAUAUAUAAAAGAGUGAAGAACAUAUAUGAGAGAGCAAAUAAUGGUAAUAAAUACUAAUGAAAUAGAAAGAGACAUGAGCAAUGAACAAACAAAAGUAGAAUAAAUAGUCCUACUAGCAACAAUAGCCAGUUGCUAGUAGGACAAAGGUGGCAUAUAAAAGAGGACCUGUAAUAUUUAGGGCCGGUUGCACGACUUUCGGUUUAAUCUGCAGAAUAGUUAUCGCUAGACUAAC